CUUGUCGGUGAUGUUUACUACAGUAACGUAUUUGAGUUUAACGACCAUGAGAAUACUUUACAUGCACUACCAUCUGAGACAUA